CUCGACAAUGGAUAUCUCGACUCUCACAUCGAUGAACAACGUAGUGAAAUGCGAUACUUUAUGUGAAUUGCAGAAUACCAUAAACCAUUGAGUAUUCGAACGCAAAUUGCGCUCGAAGCCUUUUGGCCGAGGGCACAUCUUCGUGGGCGUCUCG
rnacentral:rRNA from 1 species